UGUUGGGAUUACAGGCGUGAGCCACCGCACCGGGCCAGGAUAGACUUUAAAACAAACAAAACACACAUUUUUUAGGACAACAAUGAACACAUACUCAGUGGAAUGUUGGCACACUCAAUAAAGGCCAUGUCAUUAGCACCAUCUCAAGUGCUGCAUAAUAUAUUUUUGUCCCAUUUAAUGAGACAGUUAAGGCAGGCUGUGCCAUAUGUCCAGCGGAACUUCCUGUUCCUGCUGGAGGUAAGUAAGAUGCACUUUAUAGCUAUGUCUGCAAGCUGAAUGCAUGGUGGGUGUAACUGAAAAUGUCAGUCUUUCUAAUUUCAUCAAGCAAAGCAGGGAUCGAUUGCUUAUUAUGGUAAACCAUGAGUACAGGGCAGUGUCUGGUAUAUCUAAGAUGCUCAAUAAAUAUUGGUGAAUGAAUGAAAAAAAUUCAAAUAUGUGUAUGACACGGUGCUAGGUGUUCAAGAAGAUAGAAAGGAACAUGCAGUCUAUCCCUCAGCAAGGAUAAAGCAAGUAGAUAAAUAAUUGUAGCACAAAGCUAAGUAAUUAUUACAUAAAAUAGUGUUUUUUUUUUUAAAUGUGUAUUACUGGAUUCUCACAACUGUAUCAUGAGGUAAACAUCAAUCUCAUUUUUCAGAGGAAGAGUAAACCUCAUCAAGAGGUGAUAGUACCAAGAAGAUGAAAUGCUAUAAGGAGUCCCUGCUAUAAUUGUAAUGAAAGAAAACCAAAGGGUUGGAUAAAAGAAAUUGUCUCACUUCCUAAAAAGCAUGAAUGAAGUUGUCUUCUGGUCCAAUUUGGAUUUAGCUGAAGAUUCUAACCUGAACGUUUUCUUCAGUCAGGACCUAAGGACACAUUUACCCUGAAUGUCAGAUCCCAGAAGAGAGGACAAAGUAAAGGUAUAGAGAACAUGAAUAUAAAUUGAAAGCACAGGAGAAAAUCAGAACUAAAAGGACAUUUUAAAAAACAAAGCAAAACCGUCAUUCUUGGUCAUUUACUGUGUGCCAUUAUGUUACAUGUAUUAUGUCAUCUCAACAUAACAACAGUUCUAAUGAUGUAGAUAUUUUAUUAUACCCAUGAUAAAUGGAGGCAUGUAUCUUUCCUAAGGUGGGCAGAGCUUAUAGUUGUACAUAUUAGUCUGACACCAGAUCCUGCUCUCUUAAUCACUAGGCCCUACAGUCUGGAAACAAUCAACAUUAUUUUUAUACUAAUAUUAAAGUGUUAUUUGCCUUUUUUCACUUUCAUUAUCUCAUGAGUAUGUGGGGGAAUUUUCCAAUGUAUAUUUGGAAGCUCUGUAUAACUAAGUGAGCCAAUAUAUUGGAAACAUUUGAUGCACAAAGUUACAAAAUCAUACAUGGGUAAAAGAUCCAUUCAAAUAGCAAGAUACAUGAAUUGAUUUUAAUUUUUAAUAUAACAGAAUACCAAACAAAGAUUUCACAUCACAACCAACCUUUCAGAAAUUGCCAUUUUUCAAAUUUUGGUAAGUCAUCAAAGAAGACUAUCCACACUUAUCUGAAAAGGCUAUUAAGAUAAUCUUGUCUUUUUUUUUUGCUACAUAUUUGUAUGAGGCUAGAUUUCUUCAUGUACUUCAAAAACCCCAUGAGGAAUUAAAUGCAGAAGACAUGAGUAUAGCUGUGUCCUCCUAACCCAAGUAUUAAAGAAAUUUGCCAUUCUUUUAACUAAAUGUUUUGUUAUAAAAUAUAGUUAUUUUUGACAUGUUAUUGAUGUUACCUAGUUAACAUUGUUAUUUUAAAAUGAAUAAAUAUUAUUUAAAUAUCUGUUUUAA